UGGGGGAUAUUGCACAAUGGGCGAAAGCCUGAUGCAGCAACGCCGCGUGAGGGAAGACGGUUUUCGGAUUGUAAACCUCUGUCUUCGGUGAAGAAACAAAUGACGGUAACCGAGGAGGAAGCCCCGGCUAACUACGUGCCAGCAGCCGCGGUAAUACGUAGGUGGCAAGCGUUUUCCGGAAUUACUGGGUGUAAAGGGAGCGCAGGCGGGGAGACAAGUCAGCUGUGAAAACUAGGGGCUUAGCCCAGAAACUGCAGUUGAAACUGGUGGUCUUGAGUGGAGUAGAGGUAGGCGGAAUUCCGAGUGUAGCGGUGAAAUGCGUAGAUAUUCAGAGGAACACCAGUGGCGAAGGCGGCCUACUGGGCUCUAACUGACGCUGAGGCUCGAAAGUGUGGGGAGCAAACA
rnacentral:rRNA from 1 species